AGCGAACGCUGGCGGCAGGCCUAACACAUGCAAGUCGAACGAAUUCUUCGGAGUUAGUGGCGGACGGGUGAGUAACACGUGGGAACGUGCCUUUUGGUUCGGAAUAACUCAGGGAAACUUGUGCUAAUACCGAAUGUGCCCCUCGGGGGAAAGAUUUAUCGCCAUUAGAGCGGCCCGCGUCUGAUUAGCUAGUUGGUGAGGUAACGGCUCACCAAGGCGACGAUCAGUAGCUGGUCUGAGAGGAUGACCAGCCACACUGGGACUGAGACACGGCCCAGACUCCUACGGGAGGCAGCAGUGGGGAAUCUUGCGCAAUGGGCGAAAGCCUGACGCAGCCAUGCCGCGUGAAUGAUGAAGGUCUUAGGAUUGUAAAAUUCUUUCACCGGGGACGAUAAUGACGGUACCCGGAGAAGAAGCCCCGGCUAACUUCGUG
rnacentral:rRNA from 1 species